rnacentral:rRNA from 1 species
AGUGAACGCUGGCGGCAGGCCUAACACAUGCAAGUCGAGCGGCAGCGGGUCCUUCGGGCUGCCGGCGAGCGGCGGACGGGUGAGGAAUGCAUCGGAAUCUGCCCUGUCGUGGGGGAUAACCAAGGGAAACUAGGGCUAAUACCCCAUACGACCAACGGGUGAAGCCGGGGGUUGGCAGGACCCCGCGCGAAGGGAGGAGCGGAUGACCGAUUAGCUAGUUGGCGGGGUAAAGGCCCACCAAGGCGACGAUCGGUAGCUGGUCUGAGAGGAUGAUCAGCCACACUGGGACUGAGACACGGCCCAGACUCCUACGGGAGGCAGCAGUGGGGAAUAUUGGACAAUGGGCGCAAGCCUGAUCCAGCCAUGCCGCGUGGGUGAAGAAGGCCUUCGGGUUGUAAAGCCCUUUUGUCCGGGAAGAAAUCGUCUGGGCUAAUACCCCGGGCGGAUGACGGUACCGGAAGAAUAAGCACCGGCUAACUUCGUG